GCUACUUGCUGACGACCGGCGCACGGGUGCGUAACGCGUAUAGAACCUACCUUAUAGAAGGGAAUAGCCCAGAGAAAUUUGGAUUAAUGCCCUAUAGUAUUAUUGAUUGGCAUCGAUUAAUAAUUAAAGAUUUAUCGCUAUAAGAUGGCUAUGCGUUCUAUUAGCUAGUUGGUAUGGUAACGGCAUACCAAGGCAACGAUAGAUAGGGGUCCUGAGAGGGAGAUCCCCCACACUGGUACUGAGACACGGACCAGACUCCUACGGGAGGCAGCAGUGAGGAAUAUUGGACAAUGGAGGCAACUCUGAUCCAGCCAUGCCGCGUGCAGGAAGACUGCCCUAUGGGUUGUAAACUGCUUUUAUAGAGGAAGAACCAGUGCUACGUGUAGCACCAUGACGGUACUCUACGAAUAAGGAUCGGCUAACUCCGUGCCAGCUGCG
rnacentral:rRNA from 1 species